GAGGGAUCUGAUGGACAAUGUGUCCUGGGCACUACCCUGAUGGGGUUGCUGGGUUCCUCCAGUGCUCCGUAUAUUUGUGGGUUUUGGUCCUGGAGCAUUGGGCCCCCCUGUCCAUUUUUUGGCAACGGAACCCGAUGCCUUUCUCCACGAUAUCGUGGAUAAACACCUGGUCCUUGUUCAUUUUUUGAUAAUGGAGUACCCUCUAUGGUGGUUUGAGAAUGGCAUUCAUUAGCCCAAUGUCUCCCUCUACGGCAUCGUGGGCAAAUACCCGGUAUUCUACUCCUUUGAUACCUCGUUUUGUUAAACCCUCCUCCUAUGGGGCAAUUCCUUUUAAAAUGUCCUGUUUGUUCACAAUUGUAGCAUUUUCUUGGCCUGGCAUCUAAAGCCUGUUUUAUUCCAGCUGCCACGACUUGCCCUUGUUCUAAAGCCUGUUUUACUGCAGCUGCCACGACUUGCUCUUGUUCAUUAAUGUCUCUACAUAAUUUAAUAUAUGUGUUUAAAUCUUCAUGUUUCCAUGGUCUAAUGACUUCUCUGCACCAAUGAUUUGCUUGCUCAUAAGCCAGUUGUUUUAGUAAUGGCAUUGCUUGUUCUGUAUUCACAAAAACUCUGGUAGGUGUUUGAAUAAGCCUAUCUACAAAUUCAGCAUAAGAUUCAUUAGCUCCUUGUAUUACCUUAGAUAAUUGACCUUGUAAACCUCCAUGUCCUUGUAAAGUCUUCCAUGCCUUAAGUGCAUGUGCAGCAGUUUGUGCGUAUACACCAGGAUCAUAUUCAAUUUGUUGCUGCUGAUCCUCAUAAGGUCCCUUUCCUAACAACAUAUCUAGAUUUCUCUGAGAAUAACCAGCUGCUGCAUUUCGCCUAGCCGUCUCCUUGCAAAAUUCCUCAUAUGCAACCUUCCAUAACAGGUAUUGACCUCCAUUUAGCACAGCUUUACACAUAUUAGCCCUAUCUGCUGGCGUCAUGUUCAAGUUGUUAAUGGAUUUGACCAUGCUUACAGUGAAGGGUGCUUGAGGACCAUAGGUUGUUACAGCCUCUUUUAGCUGCUUCACUGUUUUGAAAUUUAAAGCAUGGUGAAUUCACUGCCCUCCUGCCUCAAAUACAGGGCAUGUUAAUAUUUGAGAUCCUGUCUCAGGAUCCCAACUAUCAACUGCGGGGUUUGGGGGCCUCCCAGCAUAUGGAGGUGGCCUUGUUAGUUGGACACUUACGUCCUCUGGUGAUAGAAAGGUGUUAGUAACAGUCUCCUGUAGAGGUGGAGCUGUUGGUUGGACACUUACACCCUCUGGUGAUAGAAAGGUGUUAGUAGCAGUCUCCUGUUGUACCUUUCCCCCUGAUGGCUUUUUCUGCUUUACACUUUCUUUCUCUGUCUGACUA
rnacentral:lncRNA from 1 species